rnacentral:miRNA from 1 species
AAGCGGGCAGGCGGAGAACCAC